ensembl:lncRNA
CAUGUACUUCGGGGCAGUGCUUUUCCAUGUUAACGUGCCUGUGGGUCACCUGGGGGCCUCAUUAAAAUGCAGAUUUUGACUUGGGAAGGCUGAGAGGGAGCUUAAGAGUCUGCAUUGCUAGCUGGCUCCAGGUGAAGCCAGCUUCUACAGACCGCAGUGUGAAUAGCCGGAUGUUGAGAGCACGACACAACUAAGCGACUAAGCAGAGCCCAGCCCAGCCCACCAAGCAGGAUGGCUCCUCUCUGUGAGUACGGCUGGGGAGCCCCGGGGUAGAAGAAAUUAUAAAACAGUUUGCAGUGAAAGUUUAGCAGUCUCAGCGCAGCUGGACUGGGAAGUAUCAUCUGAGUUCAGCUUCAUGAGGUUUACAGAAAAGUUUUAAAUGACUCUGCUGCUGCUGCUGCUAAGUCACUUCAGUCGUGUCCGACUCUGUGCGACCCCAUAGACGGCAGCCCAUGAGACUUCCACGUCCCUGGGAUUCUCCAGGCAAGAACACUGGAGUGGGUUGCUAUUUCCUUCUCCAGUGCAUGAAAGUGAAAAGUGAAAGUGCAGUCGCUCAGUCGUGUCCAACUCUAGCGACCCCAUGGACUGCAGCGCACCAGGCUCCUCCGUCCAUGGGAUUUUCCAGGCAAGAGUACUGGAGUGGGGUGCCAUUGCCUUCUCCGUUAAAUGACUCUAUAGCAUUUAAUUGUUGGAUCGUUAGAUUUUCUAGUCUUUGCUCUUGUUCAUGUUGCUUUGAAGAAUGUCCUUGGUAGAGGGGUUUCAAAGUGAUGACUCCAUGAGGAAUAUACCUGUAUAUAUUUUCCUCAUCUGUAAUGGGAAAAAUGCCUAUCUUGUAAAGAAACAAAACUUGAAUUUGAACAUUUUUCUGCUUUGGGGCAGGGCAUAUACUUUGCAUUUUAGGGUCACAUCUAACCUUUGUAACUUUCCCUGCCUCUGAAAGCCUUUGAGUUUUUCAAGGCUCAUAUAAAAUUUUGAAGAGAUGUUGUUGUCAUCUUGGAAGAUGAGAAAUAAUCUUUUCAGUAUCUUUAGUAGACUCAGCUUUUAUGUGUUUUUG